UCUCAAACUUUUAAGCAUUGUCAGUUGCUUCAAAAGAACUACUAAUCCUUCCCACACUGAUUACACACCACCUGUGCUGCAGCAAUUGUUCUUGCUUGCAUCAGAGAGGACAGCAUUGAAAAGAUGAAAAAUAACAUGAUUGAUACAAAGGGAGACAGUUGGAUAUUGACCUGAAAUGUGCUGACUUCAAGCAGUGGAUCACCAGUUGCUCUAAUACAUCAUUUUUUCCCCAAGAUAAAAAAGACAAAGAUAAGAAUCCAUUUCUUUUAUGCUGAGACUGGCUAGUGAAGGAAAAACUCCUAAGCACAACAUUUUUGAUCUGGAAUGGAGCAUGAAGCAAGAACACCAAAAUUGUACUAACCUUUACUUCAAAGUUAUCUGUAUCCACUGACUCCUUUUAAUCAGUGCUAUGACUUUUUCCUAUACUGUCUGACUGUGCUACAGUAUUUAGUUUGUUGUCUAAUAGCAUUUAGCUUCUUAGAAUGCUCCAGACUGGCUUCCAGGUGAAUGCUAUAUUUUAUACUUACUAAUAUAACUUAUAUUGGGGGAGGGGGGUGAUAGCAGUACCUGUUGUUAAUGUUGCCUGACACUUCCCAUUAUAAUACCCUGCUUUCAGUUACUUAUAACUUUUCUUAUACUUUAACUGUUUGGGCUGAAAUUUUCCAUGUCCGAUGUCUGCCUCAGGGUUGGGGUUUCAGGUAAAACAAUUCAGCCAUUUCCAAGAAGGAGGGUAGGGAAAAAGACAUUGUUUUGCCCAUAUGAAAAUAGUGGUGUCCUUUUCUUUGAAAAGCACUAGCUCCCCUCCCCCAUGCUUUGGUGCAAAGGCUUUAAAUUUGGCUGGGGGGUGGCCGCUGUGUUAGGGAUGUGCCUUUUGCUGUCACUGUGAAAAUUCACCCAUUUUUUUGACCAAGUUAUAAGCCACUGAAAAAUUGCAGCUCACACCUGCUCAGUAAAGACUGCUUGGAUUUUAUCCGCUAAAUACUCUGAAUAUUCUGCACUGGGCAUGUUCCAGCCUGGGGCUGAGCAGGACUUGUUCUGCAAUUGAAGCUCUGGGCACCUGAACUGAGAGCGGGGAGCCUCCCUCUCCUGCGCUCUCAGUGAAUCCUCUGUUGGGCCCCGGCAGUGUAGAGGAGGAAAAAAUAGUAUGUAAUCAAAGACUGUAUCAUAAUGCAUAUACUUAAGGGGGCCAAACUGUGACCUUAAUUCUGGCAUUUUCAAACUUUUGAGUGUCUGACUUUAUUAAGAUUGCAAUGUUCUUUUAACGCGUUUUGUUUGUAAAAUUAGAUAUAAAAUUAUCCUAAUCUUUAA